GAGCCCUUUCUUUCCCAUUAUUAUUAGAGGAAUCUACAGGAUACUAGGCAUGAAAUGACAGGAGCAUACACAGUCACUGGUCCUGACUUUAAAACUUUGACCUUCUAAACAUUACUGAAUCAGUCUGGAUUUCUGAAAUCAGUAGAAAGAUUUUUAAAAUAAGACAACUUGGCACGUGACUUUAAGGAAGAGGAUUAGAUUUCACAUCCUCAGUGGAUAAAAAGUUUCCCAUUCUGGAGACAGGUAUAGCAGAUGGCUUCCUGAACUUGGAGUCAAGGGACCACUUACUAGCUGUGUGUCCUGAACUCAUCACUUGCCCUCUCUGGGCCUCUCUGGCCUCACCUAUAAAACGAGCUUCGAAGAGAUGAUCUCUAAAGUUCUUCUGGAUCUAAUAGUCGAAGACUGAAGCCCUGAUUCUCAUCUGAAGGAGCUCUAGGACUUAAGGGAGUGAAAGGGGGAACUCAGUGCACAUGACAUUGAUGGGCUGAGAAAAAUUCCUAUUUAGAAAUCUGAUGCAAAAGCCAAAGUCAUCGUUCUCAAAUCCAGACUUGAUUCUAACUCAUUGGCCAAACUAGUGCUUCUGCACAGGCUUUGGGAGGGACAGUUGGUUAUCAAGAACGAAGAGGUUCCUGACUUUGAAGGAGUGAGUGGCUGGUGUUCAGAUGAAGAAAGACACCUGCCAUAACCAUGGCCUGUGCUCAUCACCAUUAACAAGGACCAGGGCUGGGCAUCUCACCUGCCUUAUCUACUUUAGUCUUCAUCACAGCUCUUUGUG
ensembl:lncRNA